rnacentral:misc_RNA from 1 species
ACAACACAAUACGAUACUUUUGAAGGCACUUCUUUGCAUUAGACUUUCCACUAAAAUCCCUUUUUUCAUCGACACCAUAUAAUUUUAUCCUUUCCCAAAUUCACUUUGAACACAAAGGAUUCAUAUCUCUCACUCUACCAAAGCAACCUCAUUUGCAUUCAUAUGUAUGGACAACAAAUAAAUAGGCAAAAAAUUUGAAGGAGUAAUUAAGAAUAAAGUUAGUUUAAUUGUCUUCCUUCGGAUAAGUAAUGCCUCUUCCAUCAAGCUAACCAUCUUUCAAAUAUUCCAACAAAUGGUUCCCACAUUAAUUUAUCCUUAUAUCAUGCCCCAAUGGAGGCCCUAAGGAAUGUACCAACCCCAUGCUCUAGUAAUGUUCUCAAGAGCCUAAACAAAAUUACCGCAACAUCCCUUUUGAUGAUAACCAAAGCAUCCAGAUUUUACAGUUCCAAACCAUACAAAUAAGUUUUCAACAAUGAAAUCAAGGUCAACUGAACCAUCACGAAUUUAAACUCACCAAAAACAAAAAGAAUUAUAAAUAAAUAAAGGAAACAUACCAAGGUUUUGGCAGCUUAUCAA